UUGGCAGAAACAAGGCUAAUGCCUACUUACUUAGCCCGCCAGAUAACUACGAGUAAAAACUUAAAAUUCAAAGGACUUGACGGUAUCCCACAUACAACCUAGAGGAGCCUGUCCUAUAAUCGAUAAUCCACGAUAGACCCUACCACUUUUUGCCAAACAACCUAUAUACCGCCGUCGAAAGUUUACCUUUUGAGAGAAAAGAAGUGAACAAAGAAGCCCCCCACUAGUAUGACAGGUCAAGGUGUAGUGAAUAAAGUGGCCAGAGAUGGGCUACACUUCCUUGAAAAGGAGAAACGAACAGCUUAAUGAAACCACGCUAAAAGGCGGAUUUAGUAGUAAACUGAGAUUAGAAAGCUCACUUGAACAUAUUGCCCUGGGAU
rnacentral:rRNA from 1 species